GACGAACGCUGGCGGCGUGCCUAAUACAUGCAAGUCGAACGCACUCUCGUUUAGAUUGAAGGAGCUUGCUCCUGAUUGAUAAACAUUUGAGUGAGUGGCGGACGGGUGAGUAACACGUGGGUAACCUGCCCUAAAGUGGGGGAUAACAUUUGGAAACAGAUGCUAAUACCGCAUAAAAACCUAACACCGCAUGGUGUAGGGUUGAAAGAUGGUUUCGGCUAUCACUUUAGGAUGGACCCGCGGUGCAUUAGUUAGUUGGUGAGGUAAAGGCUCACCAAGACCGUGAUGCAUAGCCGACCUGAGAGGGUAAUCGGCCACACUGGGACUGAGACACGGCCCAGACUCCUACGGAGGCAGCAGUAGGGAAUCUUUCCACAAUGGACGAAAGUACUGAUGGAGCAACG
rnacentral:rRNA from 1 species